rnacentral:rRNA from 1 species
AGUGAACGCUGGCGGUAGGCCUAACACAUGCGAGCCGAACGGCAGCACAGGAGAGCUUGCUCUCUAGGUGGCGAGUGGCGGAAGGGUGAGGAAUACAUCGGAAUCUGCCCAGUCGUGGGGGAUAACGUAGGGAAACUUACGCUAAUACCGCAUACGACCUUCGGGUGAAAGAGGGGGAUCGCAAGACCUCUCGCGAUUGGAUGAGCCGAUGUCGGAUUAGCUAGUUAGCGGGGUAAUGGCCCACCAAGGCGGCGAUCCGUAGCUGGUCUGAGAGGAUGAUCAGCCACACUGGAACUGAGACACGGUCCAGACUCCUAAGGGAGGCAGCAGUGGGGAAUAUUGGGCAAUGGGCGCAAGCCUGAUCCAGCCAUACCGCGUGGGUGAAGAAGGCCUUCGGGUUGUAAAGCCCUUUUGUUGGGAAAGAAAUCUUUCAGGCUAAUACCCUGGGAGGAUGACGGUACCCAAAGAAUAAGCACCGGCUAACUUCGUG